GACGAACGCUGGCGGCGUGCUUAACACAUGCAAGUCGAACGGAAAGGCCCUGCUUUUGUGGGGUGCUCGAGUGGCGAACGGGUGAGUAACACGUGAGUAACCUGCCCUUGACUUUGGGAUAACUUCAGGAAACUGGGGCUAAUACCGGAUAGGAGCUCCUGCUGCAUGGUGGGGGUUGGAAAGUUUCGGCGGUUGGGGAUGGACUCGCGGCUUAUCAGCUUGUUGGUGGGGUAGUGGCUUACCAAGGCUUUGACGGGUAGCCCGCCUGAGAGGUUGACCGGCGACAUUGGGACUGAGGUACGGCCCAGACUCCUACGGGAGGCAGCAGUGGGGAAUAUGGCACAAUGGGCGGAAGCCUGAUGCAGCAACGCCGCGUGCGGGAUGACGGCCUUCGGGUUGUAAACCGCUUUCGCCUGUGACGAAGCGUGAGUGACGGUAAUGGGUAAAGAAGCACCGGCUAACUACGUG
rnacentral:rRNA from 1 species